rnacentral:rRNA from 1 species
GCCGUUCUCAGUUCGGAUCGGAGUCUGCAACCCGACUCCGUGAAGCUGGAUUCGCUAGUAAUCGCGCAUCAGCCAUGGCGCGGUGAAUACGUUCCCGGGCCUUGUACACACCGCCCGUCAAGCCAUGGAAGCCGGGGGCGCUUGAAGUGCGUUACCGCAAGGCGCGCCCUAGAGCGAAACCGGUGACUGGGGCUAAGUCGUAACAAGGUACC